rnacentral:rRNA from 1 species
UACGUGGGGGGCAAGCGUUGUCCGGAUUUAUUGGGCGUAAAGAGCGUGUAGGCGGCUAGAUAGGUCCGUUGUGAAAACUCGAGGCUCAACCUCGAGACGCCGGUGGAAACCAUCUAGCUAGAGUCCGGAAGAGGAGAGUGGAAUUCCUGGUGUAGCGGUGAAAUGCGCAGAUAUCAGGAAGAACACCCGUGGCGAAGGCGGCUCUCUGGGACGUGACUGACGCUGAGACGCGAAAGCGUGGGGAGCGAACAGG